AUUGAUCGUCAAGCUUUUCAGCGAGUUUUAGAGUUGGACCCUCAGAAUGUUGAUGCUCUAGUAGCACUGGCAAUCAUGGACUUGCAAACAAAUGAAGCUGGUGGGAUUCGGAGGGGAAUGGAGAAAAUGAAAAAAUCAUUUGAAAUCUAUCCUUAUUAUACAUUGGCACUCAACCACCUUGCGAAUCAUUAUUUCUUUACUGGCCAACAUUUUGUUGUUGAACAAUUGACUGAGAUGGCUCUUUCUUCAAGCAACCAUGGACUACUGAAACCACAUGCUUACUACAACUUAGCCAGAUCAUACCACA